CAGUAGCCGCGGUAAUACGAAGGGUGCAAGCGUUAAUCGGAAUUACUGGGCGUAAAGCGUGCGUAGGCGGUGAGUUAAGUCUGCUGUGAAAUCCCCGGGCUCAACCUGGGAAUGGCAGUGGAUACUGGCUCGCUAGAGUGUGUCAGAGGAUGGUGGAAUUCCCGGUGUAGCGGUGAAAUGCGUAGAGAUCGGGAGGAACAUCGGUGGCGAAGGCGGCCAUCUGGGACAACACUGACGCUGAGGCACGAAAGCGUGGGGAGCAAACAGGAUUAGAUACCCGCGUAGUCCCUGUCUCUUAUAC
rnacentral:rRNA from 1 species